CCGCGUCGCACCGCCGUCUCCUGCCCGCCGCCGUUUCGUGCACCAUGGAAGGAUUGGGUUGAGCAGCUCCGUCCAAGUUCCAACCGAGGACCAAAGGUAGCAGCUCCGUCCAAGUUCCAACCGAUCUGGCCGGUCGCUGCUUCGUUCGCCCGUCCUUCCUCAGAUUGGUUCUAGCCGUGUAUCUCUGUCCGGUCGACGGGCUCUUUCUGCCGAGUUCAUGUGUUUGUUAAUAUGCCUGUGAGGUGACGAU